rnacentral:rRNA from 1 species
GGAUGAUGUCAAGUCAUCAUGCGCCGUACGACCAGGGCUACACACGCGCUCCAAUGGUGCGUUCAGAGGGCGGCAAGCUAGCGAUAGUGAGAGAAUCCCAAAAAGCCCGUCGUAGUCCGGAUUCGAGUCUGCAACUCGGCUCCAUGAAGUCGGAAUCGCUAGUAAUUGCAAAUCAGAAUGUUGCGGUGAAUACGUUCCCGGGCCUUGUACACACCGCCCGUCACACCAUGGGAGUGGGUUGCACCAGAAGUAGAUAGCUUAACCUUCGGGAGGGCGUUUACCACGGUGUGAUUCAUGACUGGGG